AUUGAACGCUGGCGGCAUGCCUUACACAUGCAAGUCGAACGGUAACAGGUCUUCGGAUGCUGACGAGUGGCGAACGGGUGAGUAAUACAUCGGAACGUGCCUAGUAGUGGGGGAUAACUACUCGAAAGAGUGGCUAAUACCGCAUGAGAUCUACGGAUGAAAGCAGGGGAUCGCAAGACCUUGUGCUACUAGAGCGGCCGAUGGCAGAUUAGGUAGUUGGUGGGAUAAAGGCUUACCAAGCCGACGAUCUGUAGCUGGUCUGGGAGGACGAUCAGCCACACUGGGACUGAGACACGGCCCAGACUCCUACGGGAGGCAGCAGUGGGGAAUUUUGGACAAUGGGCGCAAGCCUGAUCCAGCAAUGCCGCGUGCAGGAUGAAGGCCUUCGGGUUGUAAACUGCUUUUGUACGGAACGAAAAGCCCCGGGUUAAUACCCUGGGGUCAUGACGGUACCGUAAGAAUAAGCACCGGCUAACUACGUGCCAGCCGCCGCGGUAA
rnacentral:rRNA from 1 species